rnacentral:rRNA from 1 species
UACGUAGGGUGCGAGCGUUGUCCGGAAUUACUGGGCGUAAAGCGUGCGCAGGCGGUUCCGCAAGUCAGAUGUUAAAUCCCCGGGCUUAACCUGGGAACCGCAUUUGAAACUACGGAGCUAGAGUGUGUCAGAGGGGGGUAGAAUUCCACGUGUAGCAGUGAAAUGCGUAGAGAUGUGGAGGAAUACCGAUGGCGAAGGCAGCCCCCUGGGAUGACACUGACGCUCAUGCACGAAAGCGUGGGGAGCAAACAGG